rnacentral:misc_RNA from 1 species
AUCUCUGGCUGCAGCAAUUUCUCUCCUUUGCAUAUCUCACAAUUUGAGAAAAUAUGGGGUGAGGAAUUUUCUGUUUGUCGAUAGGUCCCAUGGCCAUAUGGCUGAGUUCCGUGACGAAUAUGUAAAGAAGAUACAUGAUUUCUUCUUUUUGGUGGCAGUGUGGGUAUUGCCAUGUCUGCUUCUGAAGAUUGUUCUUGAGAUCGUUCGAGAUAUGCAUGUGCAUCGUGAUCCUUGGUGGCAAACUGUUGCAAUUUCGAUUGCUCACAUCAUCUCUUGGACUUAUUCAACUAUUAUCUUUUUAUCUGGCUGUGCU